rnacentral:rRNA from 1 species
GAUGAACGCUAGCGGGAGGCCUAACACAUGCAAGCCGAGCGGUAUUGUUUCUUCGGAAAUGAGAGAGCGGCGUACGGGUGCGGAACACGUGUGCAACCUGCCUUUAUCUGGGGGAUAGCCUUUCGAAAGGAAGAUUAAUACUCCAUAAUAUAUUGAACGGCAUCGUUUAAUAUUGAAAGCUCCGGCGGAUAGAGAUGGGCACGCGCAAGAUUAGCUAGUUGGUGAGGUAACGGCUCACCAAGGCGAUGAUCUUUAGGGGGCCUGAGAGGGUGAUCCCCCACACUGGUACUGAGACACGGACCAGACUCCUACGGGAGGCAGCAGUGAGGAAUAUUGGUCAGUGGGUGCAAGCCUGAACCAGCCAUCCCGCGUGAAGGACGACUGCCCUAUGGGUUGUAAACUUCUUUUGUAUAGGGAUAAACCUACCCUCGUGAGGGUAGCUGAAGGUACUAUACGAAUAAGCACCGGCUAACUCCGUGCCAGCAGCCGCGGUAAUACGGAGGGUGCAAGCGUUAUCCGGAUUUAUUGGGUUUAAAGGGUCCGUAGGCGGACUUAUAAGUCAGUGGUGAAAGCCUGUCGCUUAACGAUAGAACUGCCAUUGAUACUGUAAGUCUUGAGUAUAUUUGAGGUAGCUGGAAUAAGUAGUGUAGCGGUGAAAUGCAUAGAUAUUACUUAGAACACCAAUUGCGAAGGCAGGUUACCAAGAUAUAACUGACGCUGAGGGACGAAAGCGUGGGGAGCGAACAGGAUUAGAUACCCUGGUAGUCCACGCCGUAAACGAUGCUAACUCGUUUUUGGGCUUUAGGGUUCAGAGACCAAGCGAAAGUGAUAAGUUAGCCACCUGGGGAGUACGCUCGCAAGAGUGGAACUCAAAGGAAUUGACGGGGGCCCGCACAAGCGGUGGAUUAUGUGGUUUAAUUCGAUGAUACGCGAGGAACCUUACCAAGACUUAAAUGGGAAUUGACAGCUUUAGAAAUAGAGCUUUCUUCGGACAAUUUUCAAGGUGCUGCAUGGUUGUCGUCAGCUCGUGCCGUGAGGUGUUAGGUUAAGUCCUGCAACGAGCGCAACCCCUGUCACUAGUUGCCAUCAUUCAGUUGGGGACUCUAGUGAGACUGCCUACGCAAGUAGAGAGGAAGGUGGGGAUGACGUCAAAUCAUCACGGCCCUUACGUCUUGGGCCACACACGUAAUACAAUGGCCGGUACAGAGGGCAGCUACACAGCGAUGUGAUGCAAAUCUCGAAAGCCGGUCUCAGUUCGGAUUGGAGUCUGCAACUCGACUCUAUGAAGCUGGAAUCGCUAGUAAUCGCGCAUCAGCCAUGGCGCGGUGAAUACGUUCCCGGGCCU